GCCGGGCACGGUGGCUCAUGCCUGUAAUCCCAGCACUUUGGGAGGCCGGGUGGAUCACCUGAGGUCGGGAGUUUGAGACCAGGCUGACUAACAUGGAGAACCCUCAUCUCUACUAAAAAUACAAAAUUAGCCAGGCGNNNNNNNNNNCGCCUGGCUAAUUUUGUAUUUUUAGUAGAGAUGAGGGUUCUCCAUGUUAGUCAGCCUGGUCUCAAACUCCCGACCUCAGGUGAUCCACCCGG
rfam:Chlorocebus sabaeus isolate 1994-021 chromosome 20, whole genome shotgun sequence.